CCUGACAUUCAAACACUGGCUUACACUCAAAUACUUAGUCCAAGUGAUUAUAAUUGGUUGCGAAAAGAUGUGCUGAACUGCUGGCGUAUUAUCUCAUCUCAUCAUCAACCACGUUCUGAGCCAGAUACAGGAAAUGCUUAUAUUUCAGUGUGACAGCGCCUUCCAAGCAGCGAUCAGAAUGAACAAGAGAAAAUGGUAAAGAAAGACAAAUGAGAUGAAGAUGCUUCCUAACGGUCGAUGUUUGUCUGUCAUCACAUUUUUUUUUACAAUUGAGUGCAUGUUGACACAUGUGAGAGGAAAUGACCUGGAAAGCAAUGAUGAACCAGAUGCUACGUAUGCUUUGAUUGGAGCAGGAAUUGGGCUCUUCUUUGCCAUAUGUUUUAUUGGCAGCAAGCUCUACAUUAUAAAAAAACACAUGCUUGAUAUCGAAGCUUCAGAGGAAUCCGUAAAAAACCCAUCUCAUCAAACUGCUUUUGUGGACAUGACGGACUUAAGAAGAGUAAGCGAUGGAUGAAGUGACAAGGAUACCGGAAGAUAAAUGGAAAUGUUUUGGGCAUGGAAAUGUAAAUAACAAUUGCAUGAUGUGUGAGUUGGAAGUGUCUAUAAACAUGUGAAAGUGGAGUCUAGACAUUAGUGUUUGGUCUGCCUGUGGUCAAGGAUAGCUAUACAGUAUACUGUAGUCCAGGCUUGGGCAAAGACCUGGACUACAUGCGGCCCGUUGAAUCAUGCUUAGAUCACAUAAAGAAUUUGCGAUGGUAAAAAAAAAAAAAAACGUAGUUGUUAUUCAAAUUAAAAGUCCAAUGAAUACUCGCCUUUGUAUAAUGAUUUAACU